rnacentral:rRNA from 1 species
UACGAAGGGGGCUAGCGUUGUUCGGAUUUACUGGGCGUAAAGCGCACGUAGGCGGAUCGUUAAGUCAGGGGUGAAAUCCUGGGGCUCAACCCCAGAACUGCCUUUGAUACUGGCGAUCUCGAGUCCGGAAGAGGUGAGUGGAACUCCUAGUGUAGAGGUGGAAUUCGUAGAUAUUAGGAAGAACACCAGUGGCGAAGGCGGCUCACUGGUCCGGUACUGUACGCUGAGGUGCGAAAGCGUGGGGAGCAAACAGG